rnacentral:rRNA from 1 species
UACGUAGGGAGCAAGCGUUGUCCGGAAUCAUUGGGCGUAAAGCGCGCGUAGGCGGCCAGGUAGGUCUGCUGUGAAAACUCGAGGCUCAACCUCGAGAUGUCGGCGGAAACCAUCUGGCUAGAGUCCGGAAGAGGAGAGUGGAAUUCCUGGUGUAGCGGUGAAAUGCGCAGAUAUCAGGAAGAACACCCGUGGCGAAGGCGGCUCUCUGGGACGGUACUGACGCUGAGACGCGAAAGCGUGGGGAGCGAACAGG